rnacentral:rRNA from 1 species
GAGGAAUAUUGGGCAAUGCCCGCAAGGGUGACCCAGCAACGCCGCGUGGAGGAUGAAUGUCGUAAGAUUGUACACUCCUGUUAGAGGGGAAGAAUAGUACCGGUUGGACCGGUAUAUGACUGUACCCUCAGAGAAAGCCCCGGCUAACUACGUGCCAGCAGCCGCGGUAAUACGUAGGGGGCAAGCGUUGUCCGGAUUUACUGGGUGUAAAGGGCGCGCAGGCGGGAUAAAAAGUCAGUGGUGAAAUCCUACAGCUUAACUGUAGAACUGCCUUUGAUACUGUUAUUCUUGAGUUCGGGAGAGAGAGACGGAAUUCCAGGUGUAGUGGUGAAAUACGUAGAUAUCUGGAAGAACACCAGUUGCGAAGGCGGUCUCUUGGUCCGACACUGACGCUGAGGCGCGAAAGCGUGGGG